UACGUAGGGGGCGAGCGUUGUCCGGAUUUAUUGGGCGUAAAGAGCGUGUAGGCGGCCGUACAGGUCAGCUGUGAAAACUCGAGGCUCAACCUCGAGACGUCGGUUGAAACCGUACGGCUAGAGUCCGGAAGAGGAGAGUGGAAUUCCCGGUGUAGCGGUGAAAUGCGCAGAUAUCGGGAGGAACACCAAUGGCGAAGGCAGAUCUCUGGGCCGUAACUGACGCUGAGGAGCGAAAGCAUGGGGAGCAAACAGG
rnacentral:rRNA from 1 species